rnacentral:rRNA from 1 species
CACUGGCAGCUCAAGUGGUAGCCAUUUUUAUUGGGCCUAAAGCGUUAGUAGCCGGUUUGAUAAGUCUCUGGUGAAAUCCCACAGCUUAACUGUGGGAAUUGCUGGAGAUACUAUUAGACUUGAGGUCGGGAGAGGUUAGCGGUACUCCCAGGGUAGGGGUGAAAUCCUGUAAUCCUGGGAGGACCACCUGUGGCGAAGGCGGCUAACUGGAACGAACCUGACGGUGAGGGACGAAAGCCAGGGGAGCAAACAGG